UCAGCUCUGAAACCCAGCUGUGGGUUUGGGCCCUCUGCUGCCUAAUUUAUUUUGUCUUUACUCCUCUACUCGCAUCCCAUCCUUCCUCCUUUAUUGCUAUUUAUCUUCCCCUUCCAAACACCACCAAGUACUCUCUCUCUCUCUCUCUCUCUCUAAGGUAAUCAUUUCACCUAUCAUCAGCGGUCUCUCUCUCUCUCUCUCUCACUCUCGGUUCUACCUCUCUAUAUCCAUGAAAGCCGAGAGUUCAGGGGGAGAAAGGAAAGGAGAAGAAGAAGAAGAAGAAGAAGAAGAAGAAGAAGAAGAAGAAGAAGAAAGAGGAAGCUUUUCCUUUGAGGGGAAUGUUGUCUGGCUCGAGGCACCUGUAACCGGAGAGCAAGAGAUGUUGCUUUCAUCUCUUGUUGUUCUCUUAGGGAUCUCGGACCAGGCUUCAUUCCCCCCAAUCGUAGCUUCCGAAACUCCACCACAGCAAACUGCAAAUGGUAGUCGCAGCUCAUCGUGAUCCACACGCGGGCUUUUGAUGUGUCGAUCUUCAUGUUUUUUGGAUCAUGGUCUUUUCCUCUUUGCUUCCUUGUUUCUAACUUGGGUUUUGUUUGUUCUCUGGUGAUCCACCGAGGCGGCAAGGAGAAGCAGAUUGGUGUAAUGAUGAGGGGUCUUGACCUACUCCUCCUCCUUUGUGUCUUGUGUUGACUUUAUUUCCUUUGUUCUCUGACAGGAGGAAGUCGAAAAGGGCUUCAUCAUUGCCUUGUCAUUGCCUUCGGAAAGAAUCAGAUACUAUCCUCAAAAAGAUUUAUGUGCAUCUUCAGAUACAGAAUCUGGAAAUAGACAUGUAGGUUUGUCCGUCGCAGACCGCCCGUGUAGAUCGAAGACUCUGCCUUGCUCUUUACCACCGUGUUUUGAUUUGCUUCACGUCUCACCAACAAUACUCGAUCUUCCAUCGACUAUUUUACUCAUCGAUGCACAAAGAGCUUUUCAGAAGAUACAGAUCUACAUAGGUGUUCUUGACCCACUGUUUCUUACAGACUAUUCGACGGAAUGUGAGCUCGUUUCUGCAGUCAUGGCUGGCUCUGAUGGGGAUGUGUGUAUAUGUUCCAUCGCUUUGUCUCGAUUGGCUUUGACAUAGCGAGCAUGAGUACCACAUAAUCUUAUCAGAUCUUGUGGUGCAAUGCAUGCUCCAAGCAUGCAAACAAGUUUUCUGGAGAUCUGUGAGCGAGGUGAGGUGGUAGCAUAAUCGAAACCGAGCUUUUCUGUCUCUUCAUGCACAAUAUAUGUUAGCGUACAUCCAUCGUCACAGUCUCUUUUUGGUGCCGAAUAGCACUAAUAUAGCUCAUAAAAGCAAGGUUGAUGAUGCCGGUUUCAGCUUCCAAAGCUUCGUAACAUGAAAUGUAAAGGAUCAAAAGAGGAACUCUGUGCAAUUUCCCGUAACACAAAGCAAUCUUGUAACCUCUUUUUUGGGACUAUUCUUGUACAUUAAUUCCAUGAUAGAAAGACAAUAAAAGCUAUUAAGGGCUGUGGGAGGACA